GAUGAACGCUGGCGGCGUGCCUAAUACAUGCAAGUCGAGCGAACAGACGAGGAGCUUGCUCCUCUGACGUUAGCGGCGGACGGGUGAGUAACACGUGGAUAACCUACCUAUAAGACUGGGAUAACUUCGGGAAACCGGAGCUAAUACCGGAUAAUAUAUUGAACCGCAUGGUUCAAUAGUGAAAGACGGUUUUGCUGUCACUUAUAGAUGGAUCCACGCCGCAUUAGCUAGUUGGUAAGGUAACGGCUUACCAAGGCGACGAUGCGUAGCCGACCUGAGAGGGGGAUCGGCCACACUGGAACUGAGACACGGUCCAGACUCCUACGGGAGGCAGCAGUAGGGAAUCUUCCGCAAUGGGCGAAAGCCUGACGGAGCAACGCCGCGUGAGUGAUGAAGGUCUUCGGAUCGUAAAACUCUGUUAUUAGGGAAGAACAAAUGUGUAAGUAACUAUGCACGUCUUGACGGUACCUAAUCAGAAAGCCACGGCUAACUACGUG
rnacentral:rRNA from 1 species